UACACACGUAUGUACACACUUUUAAGAUGCUACCUGUAAUAGAUUAAAGGAGACAUAAGUUGACUGGAUAAAAAGUUAGGUCUCAUGACAUGCUUGACCGGUUACAGUUCCAAGAAGAAUUUAGACAAGAUUGAGGGACAAUCAUGCUCUGACAGUGCUAGUGGGGAUAUUUUGAAAAACAGUAGAGGUCUAGGACAUGCCUGAUCGGUUACGAUUCCAUAGAGAAAUUUAACAAGAUAGUGGAUCAGUGCUAGAGUGGUUUUUGAUGAAGAAUAGUACAGUUAUCCCGUUUGAUGAGAGAUUGUGUUGAUCUAGAAGAAAAUCACUGAUCGGCAACCUGCUGAAGUUUACUUGAGAUACUGUGACAUAAUGCACCUUAAAUGAAAGGCUUGAAAUUAAGACAAGAGCAAACUUAUAAUUUUGUUACUUUGGUUUCUGCACAUGCAUAGCUGGUUUUGGAUUGAUAAAGAAUUUCAGACAUACUUGUGGGGCAAUCAUAUACUGAUAGAGCCAGGAUAAUUAUUGAUGAAGAAUAGUAGAGGUGAAUACACAUGGUUGGUGGGUUAUGGAUCCAUAAAGAAGUUUAGACAUGAUUGUGAGGCAGGCAUGUACUGAAAGAGCCAGGGCGUUUAUUGAUGAAAAAUACUAGAGGUGACUGCACAUGCUUGGUUGGUUAUGGAUCCAUAUAGAAGUUUAGACAUGACUGUAGUGAUAGAGCCAGGGCGUUUAUUGAUGAAGAAUGAUAGAGGUAUGACACUAAACUUACAGACAUUAAGAAAGGUAUAACUUAGAAUGUGAUUCUACGACCCCAGGCAUUAUAUGGAAAAUAUUUCUAUUUUCCUUGAAGCCGAGCGAGUCAGUCUCUUGCUACUUUUCUCUUCCCUUUUUUUCUCAUUGUAUGUGAUAAUUGAUAAUGUUUAAGUUAUUAUAUUUGUUUUUUAUUGGUUCAGUUGUUCAAAAUUACAACUGAAGGGAUGAAAGUAAAUGGUCUUUGAAUAUAAGAAUAUCUUUGGUCUUGCUGCUCAGAAAAAAAUAUCAUUCGAAUAGAUGUCAACAUAAAACUGUUAUGUUCAUUUUAAGUUAAGUGUUCAUGUUCCAGUUACAUUUUAAGGACAAGUAGUCUAAUGUGUGCUUUUUACAGGAUAGAGUAGGAAAAUAAAAUGUCAUUUGGACACUUUUUUUCUGGAUAAGUUCAUACAUACCUUAUUUGCUUUUCGGCAUGAUAUACAUGUUAUUUAACAGUGUUGUUGUUUGUUUGUUUGACAGAAAAGUGCCAAAAUUCAAGUAAAGUUUUAUCAGAAUUGAAAUAUUGGUACUUAAUACAGAAAUGAAUUAUCUCCCAUUAAUUGUUAAGAAUGCUUAUUUUUCAGUUUGUAACUUCUUCAGAGAUAUAUUUGGGGAUAGACAACAUCAUUAUUACGCAAAACUAGAUUAGUUUGGCAGAUGUUUCUAGUUCUUAAUUAUUGAGGUAUUCUGUAGUUUAAAAUUGUGUGAAUAUAACAUAGAAAUGGCACUCUUAAAAUGCCUGAAAACCACUAAGUGGAGAUGAAAGUAUUUGUUCAAAGCAAUAUUAAUUUCCUUCUAUAGAUUCUGCUUCGUAUUAUGUACAGUUGCAUCUGUUUAAAAAGAUUUGCUCUCCUCAAAGUAACAUUACUAUUCUUGUGUGUCUCACGUUAUGUUUCUGAAUCAUAUUUCGAAGGUCAGUUCUGAAUUUUGAGGUAUGUGACAGGGUCAUUUCUUAAUGAAAGGCUAUGGAAAACAUCAAUUACUGUCAUUAUAAGGACUAGGAAUGCUCAAAUUUGCACUAUAGAUAUUUCUAAUAUAUUUCAAACAGGUACCUUUAAUUUCAUGUGAUUCUGAUGAAACCUACAAUUGUUGGUGUCUGCGUAGAGUAAGCAUUGCCUCAGGGAGGGUGCUUGGGGUGUUUGAAGACUGCAAUGAUUUUUACAAUAAAUCCUACAUUUAGAUCACUGCACAUGUCUUGCUGGUGUUACAGAUCAAUGAAGAUUUUAAGACAUAAUUGUGGGUAACUCAUGUACUGAUAAAGCGGAGGUGGUUAUUGAUAAAGAGUAGUAGAGGUAUGAUAAAAAGGAAAAAGUAAGUGUUAUUUGAACAAAGUAAUUUCAGGAGAAGUUCAUGCAUAUCAUAUUUGAUUUCCUAUAUGAUGAUUUUCAGUGCUGGUGUUCGUCUAUCAGGCCAAAACAAUGCCAUAAUUAAACCAAAGUGUUAUUAUAUUUGAAGUAUUAGAACAUUAUAUAUAAGUAAUUUACCUCCAUUUAUUUGUUUAAAAUGCUUAUAGGUCCAUUUUCACUGUUUCAGUGAGGCACAUUUGGUCAUACAAUAUCAUCUAUGACCACAAGAUUAAUACGGCAGAUAUUUUUAGUUCUGAAAUAUGUAUAAAAUGUUGUAAUGGCCUAAACAGCGCGAUGAUAGUAUAAACAUGACACUCUUGAGAGGCUAGACAGCCAUGUAUAGCUUAUCAAAGCAGUUCUGCUUUAUUUGCAAGAGUAUACUUCCCUUCAUGCACAGUUUUAUCUGUUUCAUAUGUUUGGCUGUUUUCUUCAUGAUAUUACUAUUACUGAUGUUAUGUUUUUGAAAGAAUAACAUUUCAAUGUUCAACUCUCAAUUUAGGGGUUGUGACAGGGACAUUUUUGAUAACGAAAUGCUAAAAAUAACAGUGACAUAGAAAAAAUGAUUUUAUUUUUUUUUGAGUUGAUAACAGAAUCAAACAAAUCAAAUCAAAUCAGCCCAUAAGUUUAGUACUACAUUUCAAGAAUUUGGGCAAUCUAUUUGGCACUUUCAGUCAAUAUAAAGACCAAGACUACUAAAAGGUUGCAUUAUCAAUAUUUCUAACAGGUUCAUGUAAUAUCGUUUGACUCAGAUGAUUGUUGUACAUAUUGAUGUCUGUACAGAGACAGACUUUUCUCAGUUAGUAGAAAAUCAUUGUGUUCGGCGACAUAUGUUAAAAACCAAUCAUUUAUUCAGGUCUAUGCAUAUUUUUGACUGGUUAUGGAUCCAUGAAUCAGUUUAAGAUUUGAUUGUGAUGAAAUUGUGAACUAAUAGAUGAUAAAUGAAAAUAAAGGUAUGACACUAAAAGUACCUACAUUAACACAUACAUGACUUAAAAUAUGCCCCAAUGACCUCCUACAAUACAACGAAAGUAUACCUGGUGCUGAUUUUUGUCUAUAAUGUAUUUAAAUGAUAAUGUUUAAGAAAAUAUUUUCACUGUUUCUUUGUUCAAGUUAUCAAUUCAAGAUUGGAAGAAUAUUGAGAUUUAUCUUUACUCGAAUUUAUGAAGUGUUUAGGCUUCAGUUUUAAAACUGAUAUAUAUUGUGUGCACUUUUCUUGGAUAGUGGGGAAAAGUAAAUACUAAAAAGUUAUUUCUGGAGAGGUUUAUAAUAUCCGAUUUGCUUUUUUCUGCUUUACUGCCUGAUACACAUGUUUCAUAACUGAUUUUCAGUGUUGUUUCUAAUAUGGGUGACAGAAAUAUUAUAAAAUUGUACCAAUGUGUUACCAGAAUUUAAAUAUUGGUACCUAAUAAUAUAAAUGAAUUACCUCCCAUUAAUUGUUAAGACUACUUAUAGUUCAGUUUUUCACUGUUUCGAUGUGGUAUUUAGGGCUAGACAACAUUAUUGUGUUGCUAGAUUAGCAUAGAAAUUAUUCUUUAUUGCAGAAAUAUGUUCUAAAAUAAAUAUUUAGGUUUCAAUUGUGUACAAUUGAGUUUAAAUAAUCGAGAUGCUUGACACAUUCACCUGGCAAUAAAGCAUAUAUCAAUAGUAAUUUAAGUUUCUACGCAGGAAUAUGAUUCUUUUUAUGUGGACUUUCAUUUGUUUGAAAAAUCAUACUAAUUAUAGAUAUACGAAAUGCCUUUCUAGGUCUCCUGUUUUAAUGAUUUACAUGAUAUUGGUAUUUGUGUGUAAUCUCUAUCAAAGUAUCAAACAAUAUAUAUUUCCUAAGUGUCUAUUAAAUACUUAAGACCCUUUUGGUCAUCACCAUUGAUGUGAAAGUGUUUACAAUCUUUUGAGAGGAUAAAGAAGCAGCAUCCUGCUACAGUUGACUAAAAGAAAAUGUUACAUACUAAACAUCAAAUGGAACAAGAGGCUUGAAUUUUAGAACAGAGUAUAGGAAAACAUGUGUUGUUUUGAUGUGUUUAUUUUAAAAUGAUAAUAGUAUCGUAAUUAUAUAGUCCCUCUGUGACAGAAAUUGCUAUCAAAUCGUGGCUAUUGAUUGGAUGGAAUCCCGUCAUAAGCUGAUUGGAGAAAAAUUGUUAUGUUACAGUCAUAAAAUGUUUGUCACAAUCAAGCAUCACAACGUUUUCUGUGAAAGUUGUAGUAUACAAUAUGUGCUUGGCUGCAUGAAUGAUUUUCUUAAGGUCAACUUAGAAGACAAGAGACAUUUGGCCUCUAAAUUCCAUUUAACACAGUGGGGUAAAGGAGUAUGGGGUGGGGGGUAGAGGGUAUGUAAAAGGGCAAUUUCUUAGAAUGGAAGUAUAUGGAACUAACUAUCAAUAACACGGUUUGUCCUAAAGAGAGCUAAAUUUCGAUUUCGAAUAUACUAAAAUAGCUAAAACUGUAUCAUCUAUUAUGCUUUUUAAAAAUAUUUCCUUGCAGAUUAAAAGCUUCCUAUGUUGUUCAGGAAUAUAACUAUUGGAAUUAGAGUGGACGUUAAAGCGGACGUUUUCAGUCAAAAUAAAGAUCAAGGGUGCACCAAAUUUGCAUAAAAUUAUGAUACCGGAUUACAAUAGAUAAUAGCACUUGUCUCCAUUGAAAUAUGUAAUUUUUGAUGUCUGCUAGAAGUCAGAAUUUUAGUGAGAAUACAAUGAGAAGGUGUUUAGGGCUGGGUAUCUGUAUUC
rnacentral:lncRNA from 1 species